rnacentral:rRNA from 1 species
GACAUAGGUGGCAAACGUUAUCCGGAAUUAUUGGGCGUAAAGGAUGCGUAGAUGGUCUAGUAAGUUAUCAGUGGUAAAUCGGGGCCCAACCUCGUGGAAGUUGGUAAUACUGUUAGACUUGAGUAUCGGAGAGGUUAACGGAACUCCCUGUGGAGCGGUGAAAUGCGCAGAUAUCGGGAGGAACACCUAUGGCGAAGGCAGCUCGCUGGGACGUUACUGACGCUGAGGAGCGAAAGCGUGGGGAGCGAACAGG